rnacentral:rRNA from 1 species
UGGGGAAUUUUGGACAAUGGGGGCAACCCUGAUCCAGCAAUGCCGCGUGUGUGAAGAAGGCCUUCGGGUUGUAAAGCACUUUUGUCCGGAAAGAAAACUUCGGGGCUAAUACCCCUGGAGGAUGACGGUACCGGAAGAAUAAGCACCGGCUAACUACGUGCCAGCAGCCGCGGUAAUACGUAGGGUGCGAGCGUUAAUCGGAAUUACUGGGCGUAAAGCGUGCGCAGGCGGUGCUGUAAGACCGAUGUGAAAUCCCCGGGCUUAACCUGGGAACUGCAUUGGUGACGGCAGCGCUGGAGUAUGGCAGAGGGGGGUGGAAUUCCACGUGUAGCAGUGAAAUGCGUAGAGAUGUGGAGGAACACCGAUGGCGAAGGCAGCCCCCUGGGCCAAUACUGACGCUCAUGCACGAAAGCGUGGGGAGCAAACAGG